GAUUUUUAAAUUUUUUAUGUUGGAAUAAUUUUAGAUUUACAGAAAAGUCACACAUAUAAGCAAAGAGAAUUCCUGUAUACCCCUCACCCAGUUUCUCCCAUUGUUAAUGUCUUACAUUACCAUGGUACAUUUGUCAAAACUAAGAGCCCAUUAUUGGUACGUAACUGUUAUCUAAAUUCCAGACAUUCUUCAGACUUCACCAGUGUUCCUAUUGAUGACCUGUUACUUACUAUUCUAGUAUCUGAUCCAGGACACUACAUUGCAUUUAGUUGCCAUGUCUCUCCAUUUGCUUCUGGCCUAUGACAGUCUUCAGUCUUUCCUUGUUUUUUGUGACCCUGACAGGCUUUAGGAAUGCUGUCCAGGUAUCCUGUAGGAUGUCUCCUAAUCUGGGUUUGUCUGAUUAUUUUGCUUAUGAUUAGACUGGGGUUAUGGAAGGAACACUGCAGAGGUGAAGUGCCCUGUUUCUGUCCAUGCGGGCUGCUGUGCUUUCCAUCUCAGGUACAAUGGUUCCCUGCAGAGGUCCAAACUCAAAUGUCACGGUAAAAACUUGGUGCCAUACUCUUAAGCAUAUACGGUCAUACAGACAAGACCGAGGCUAGUCUUUCUGGGCUAUACUAACCCUUUUCUCAUGUCAGCAGCUUUUGUCCUGAAUGUAGCUCCUUGGUAACAUUUCCUUGGAAAGAUCUGAAAAAGAGCCUUCACUUGGAAGCCAAGAGCUCUUGAUCCCAGCAGGUUACUCACUUGUCAGUGUCCAUGUAGCUGACUCACCUUAGGCCUAGAUGUUAGAAUCCAUUUUCUUACCAACCUCACACAGUUAUAGUGCAACAUGAGUCAUUUGUUGCACUUCUAUGAAUGAGUUAUUGAGCAUUUCUAUACAUGCAUUUAUAUAUCAAUCAAGAUAGGCUAGGUUACGCUGCGGUAGCUGUCAGCUUCUUUGGGCAAAGACUGAGUCAUCUCUGCAUUCUCAGCACCUGGUGCAAUUUAAGCAGAAAUAUCUUGAAGAUUUUUCGUAUCUUCAGGGAGAUUAGGAAUGGGAAUGGAAUGGGAACGCCAAUGCAGGAAGGAUGAGAAGAGAGUGUCUGCAGAUCUGAUAAUAACUGUAAAAUAACAUGGCCACACUGAGAUACAGAGGUGUAAGCCAUUCUUGUAAUUGAGUUUUAGCUGACUCCAGGCCCAUUUUCUUUCUCUUUUUAUAUCUUAUCAUCAUUAUCAUCACCAUUCCUAAUACUAUUUAAGUCUCUGUACUCUCCACCUGGCAUGCUCCCUCCCAUACUACCUGAAUGGUGACCUUUGGUAGUGCUCAACUCAGUGAUACAUAAAUAAUAUAAAUAAUAACAAAAUGUAUUCUCAAUUUUUUCUCAUCAACCCCAGGAAGGUUAAGCCUCCUUGAACUUACUUAAAUUGGUGGCAGCACGAGCUUUCAGCAUCAUGGCCAGCAUGACCAAGCCAUUUCCCUGGUGUUCCCCUCAGCAUGAAACAUCUGUCUACUUAUUUCUUUGCUGAGCCUGAAUGGAAUAUUCCAUCUCUGAAAAAUAAACUUUGUGUUUAAAUUGAAAUCUUUAUUCCUAUCUGGCAAAUUGGCUAUAUAUCCUCAACAAUUGGAAGGAAGUGAUGUAUCUGCUGCCAUCAGCUACAAAGCACUGGACGCCCACUGUGCUAUUUAUUAGAUUUACAUGAAUUCCAGGUGAAUCUGAUCCAGUGGCUACAAAAAGUGAGUAUAAAUUAAUUGUUAUUCUAUUCCUCCAGAAUGCCUGAUAUGGAAAAAGCAAUUGAAUCUGAGCACAGUUGGAAAUUUAAAAUGAAGUUUUG
rnacentral:lncRNA from 10 species